GCAAGUCGAACGAGAAAGUUCCUUCGGGAACAAGUAUAGUGGCGAACGGGUGAGUAACGCGUGAGAACUUCCCUCUUAGUGAAGAAUACCCUCGAGAAAUCGAGGUUAAUACUGCAUACGUCCCUUCGGGGAGAAAGGUGGCCUCUUGCUGCCGCUAAGAGAUAGGCUCGCGAACUAUUAGCUUGUUGGUGGGGUAAAGGCCUACCAAGGCUUUGAUGGUUAGCCGACCUGAGAGGGUGAUC
rnacentral:rRNA from 1 species